rnacentral:rRNA from 1 species
CCUACGGGGGGCAGCAGUGGGGAAUAUUGGACAAUGGGGGGAACCCUGAUCCAGCCAUGCCGCGUGUGUGAAGAAGGCCCUCGGGUUGUAAAGCACUUUCAGUGAGGAAGAACGCCUGGUGGUUAAUACCCAUCAGGAAAGACAUCACUCACAGAAGAAGCACCGGCUAACUCCGUGCCAGCAGCCGCGGUAAUACGGAGGGUGCGAGCGUUAAUCGGAAUUACUGGGCGUAAAGCGCUCGUAGGUGGCUUGAUAAGCCGGUUGUGAAAGCCCCGGGCUCAACCUGGGAACGGCAUCCGGAACUGUCAAGCUAGAGUGCAGGAGAGGAAGGUAGAAUUCCCGGUGUAGCGGUGAAAUGCGUAGAGAUCGGGAGGAAUACCAGUGGCGAAGGCGGCCUUCUGGACUGACACUGACACUGAGGUGCGAAAGCGUGGGUAGCAAACAGGAUUAGAUACCCUGGUAGUC